rnacentral:rRNA from 1 species
AUUGAACGCUGGCGGCAUGCUUUACACUUGCAAGUCGAACGGCAGCGGGGAGGAGCUUGCUUCUCUGCCGGCGAGUGGCGAACGGGUGAGUAAUACAUCGGAACGUGUCGAGAAGAGGGGGAUAACCACCCGAAAGGGUGGCUAAUACCGCAUAAAUUCUGAGGAAGAAAGCUGGGGACCUAGGAAUAGGCCUAGCGCUUUUUGAGCGGCCGAUGUCGGAUUAGCUAGUUGGUGAGGUAAAGGCUCACCAAGGCGAAGAUCUGUAGCGGGUCUGAGAGGAUGAUCCGCCACACUGGGACUGAGACACGGCCCAGACUCCUACGGGAGGCAGCAGUGGGGAAUUUUGGACAAUGGGGGCAACCCUGAUCCAGCCAUGCCGCGUGUAUGAAGAAGGCCUUAGGGUUGUAAAGUACUUUUGUUAGGGAAGAAAAGUCAGCUGUGAAUAAUGGCUGAUACUGACGGUACCUAAAGAAUAAGCACCGGCUAACUACGUG